AUGAAACGUGCAACUGGUGCACUUGGCUGGCUUCAACAGACCUUGUACCAGACCUUGGGCAAGAAUCAUAAAGGUAAGCAUAAGGGAAGACUGUCUUUUAACAUCCCAUAUAGUCUGGUUGCAUGCUGCAUCCUUCUGACUUUUUACUGAAUUUACGCUUUGCCUUGUGUAAUGUUUAUCAUGAAAAGAUUUUCUAAGCUUGGCUAAGCAGAAAGACUUUUCAAGAGGAAGAAUGGCUGGUUCAUGCUUGAGACGGCUGCCUGUUAAAUGUUACAUUAAUGAUAAGAUCCUGAAAGAGCUGGUCGGGGGUGAGCUUUUUCUUUCCUUUUCUACACUAUCUUUU
rnacentral:lncRNA from 1 species